UUUGUCUCAAAAAGAAAAAAAAAAAAAGAAGAAAGACUAACAUCUCUUAGAUACUCUAAAAUAAUUUAAACAUAAAAAAUGUUUACUAUUUAUGCUGUCCCAUUCUAGUUCCCUUUGUUUCCUUUUUCCUCCUCUUUGUUUCAGAUCCUUCAAGUAUUUGUAACCUUGAGAAAAUAUACUUUAACCUGUUGUGCAGAGCCCCUCUGUUCUCCCAGAUAUCAGCUGGUGGACAAAAAAGGGACAAAGGGCAGCAGAAGAGAUAAACACCUAAAUUAAAUAAUUGCAUCCUACAGAAAUCUUUCUUGCUCAUCUCCAAAUAUCAUUGAUUACCUCUUUUAGAUGAAGCAUUGAACAUCUCUGCAUAUAUUUUAUCUGAUAAGGCUCAUGUAUUUUACUCAGAUCAGUGGACCUCAACCUAGGGUAAUUUAGCACCCCAGGGAAUAUUUGGCAAUGUCUGGAGACACGUUUGUCACAGCUGGGAAGUUCCAGUGGUAUCUCAUGUGCAGAGGACAGAGAAGCUGCUAAACAUCCUGCAACUCACAGGAUGGCCCUCUCCAACAAGGAAUUAUCCAACAGCAAGUGUCAAUAGUGCUGAGGUAGACAAACUCUGGCUUAGAUUGACUCAGUGUAUUCCAUUAGUUCCAGGUGAUAGGGAUGUUUUGAGGAGAUAGCCCUAGAAGACAAAGAGAUGGAAGGGCCAGCUGAUGACUGGGCACACCUGAGUAGGGAAUUGUGGGCCAGGAGAGGUAGAAGGAAGAUCCUGUGAUCUAAGGAGAAGUGCUGGCUAUCAGAGUCUGAAAUAAACUUUCUUUAAUUGUCAAUUUGGUCAAAGUAAUGGCAAUGGGAUUCAGGAAAUCACAUGGCAACAGCGCAGGGCUCAGGAAAGAGACUAUUUUUGUGUUUAUUCUUGUGGGGAGCCUCACCAUAGAGAUGAAUGAUUACUUGGAAAAGCUGAGACAGUGCAGGCUCCCCUCUUAGAGGCCUGCUGACCCCCUGGCGCAAACAUGAAAAUAAAGGAAAAUCUUGAGUUCCUUCAAGACAAAUUCCAGGCACCUAGCCCUGAGAAGUAAAUAAGCAACUUAACAAGCAAGAAGCUAAGCACUGUAGCUUAAAACCAUAGCCAAGGUCACAAGAUGUCUGGUUUCCUGCAGAAACUAUGUAUAACAUCUUAACAUAUGUCCCUGAGUUGUUUUUCAGAAACCUGGACCCCCAUCAAAUGGAUUCACUGGCAUGUAGACCUCAGAUAAGGGGGAACUGAAGACCACUGUUUUUUCUUCUAAUUUCUUCCUGAGAGACCUGAAGGAAAUCACACCCACUGGCCAGAGCUAAGAAUCUUUUCUGCUGAUCCCAAAUUUUUAGGCACAGCUUUGCCUUUUUAACCAAUCACAAAUCAGGAAAUCUUUGAAUCUAUCUGUGACCUGUGGGCCUUUACUUUGAGAUGUCUCACUUUUAAGUCAAACCAAUGUAUAACCUCCGUGUACUGAUUUAUGACAUUGCCUGUAACCUUUGCUUGCCUGCUUCUAAAAGCUUUUACUGUGAGCCAUUGGGGUGUUUGGAGCUAAGCAUUAGCUGCCUGAUUCUCCUUGCAGGGAGGCCUGCAAUCCCAAUGUCAGCAUUUGGUUUUGCUAUGCAAGGGAGGCAGACCCGAGUUUGAUUCACUAACACAGUUGUAAGGUACACAGACGUACUUUGGUCAAAAAAUAGGCGGAGACGGAUAUCCAGGCCUAUAUGACUCAACAAGUUUGAGACACAGACAUACACCUCUACUUGUUACAUAGCCUGUUUGUAGAAGUUCAUACUUGACUCUGAACCACUUUUGUCUGUAAAAGGAAUAAUAACUGCCCUACUGACACUGUUCACGGGGCUCAACAUGACUCUUGUACAGACACUAAUGCCGAGAGGGGAAAAAAAGCCAAAACUGAUGGACAGAGGUGAGCCACAACACAAAUCACAUUGGUGCCGGGAAAGAGGAAGAGUUGAACUAUUGACACUGAAGAUGAGAGAGCUGGCUGUGCAGCUACAGGUGUGGGGGCCGCAGGCACCGUAGAGUCGGAGCAAACAGCCGAGAUACAGGUGGACAGUGUGAAAGAACUAAUGGGAGUAAACUACUAAUGAGAAAACUACAUUUCACCUGCCUAUGCUCCCCCCCCGCCGGCGCCCACCACCGAGUGUUCUUUCUACCAAUCCACUCACUCCCCUCGGACUUCAACAUGGGCUGGAUCCGGACUCUGACAUUUAGAUCUAACAAAGCUAAUUGGUUUCCAGUCCUGAUUAACUCAGCAUGUUUGGGUACAUUUUAAUAGAGUUAGAACAACGGAAAGAAAAGAUGACCUAAAGCCAGAAUCAAUUAGAAUACUUAGGGUAAGAUAAGAUGUAAGUAGGUAGAUGGUUUUGAGAAUUAUAAGAUAAAAUCAAAAUUUGGUUAUAGACAAUUGGACGAUGAAAAACAGAAAUUCCUCCAGCUGAAUUAGAUUAAAUGUUGUGGCAGCCUUAAAAUAUGUCCAAAAUUCUUUGACAGUUUUUUCAAGGGUAGAGACUAAUUUUCUUUCCUGAGAUUGUGUUGGACUUAGUGACUCAUUUAUAAUGAGCAAGAUAAAACAGAACCAAUUGUCUGUGAUUCCUGAGGUUAGGUCAUAAAAGACAGAGGGCUCUGCCUUGUUCUGUUUUUUGGAUGAGUUGCCCUGGAGGAAAUCACCUGCCAGAUGACUUAGUAGCCUUAGGAAGAGGUAUGUGUGGCAAGGACCAUGGUUGUGGGAAUGAGCCAGCUUAGGAGCAGAUCCUCGGCCCCAGUCAAGACUUCAGAAGACCUUGAGCCACGGCCACCUGAACCUAGCUCAGUGCACCUUGGUUGGGCAGAGAGCAGCUUAGUGUUGGAUAAAUGACAAGAUGAUAGCGGACACAUUGAAUUUAUUUGAGGAAGAAGCAGCAUAACCAAGAUAUAUAUGUAUUUUAACUUCUGAGGAGCUGUUUGAGAAAAAUAAAGUUAACUUCCUUUUAAUGAAAUGUGUUGUUGCUUGUCUCAGAGACAGUGGAGAAUUCAUGAAAAGGAGAUUUAUUUGGAUUCCUCGUUAAUGUAUGUAAAUACAGUAGGCAAAUUGUCAGCAAUUACUGGAAGCUGCCAUGUAGAUUUAAAACCACUACUAAAGGAUUUUACAUUGUAGCUUUGUCAGCAAGUUGGCAUCACCUUUUCAUUCACUUCUUAAGAUCUCUCUUCUGUUUUAGUUAAAUUGGUCCAUAAAAGAAACUGAGCCUGUAUCCCACCAUGUGGUAUGUGUCUGUGUGUAUUAUAUCCCUUACUUGGUAUACACUGCGACUCUUUCUUCAACAGUCACCAAAGGUCCAAGGAUGUCUUCCUACCCCAACUCUCAUUCAUUUUCCCCUUCUCCAAACCCUUUUGGCACAAAAAAAUCUAUUCUUUUUGUUCAGGAGCAUGGAUAUUAUUAACGUUCAAGAACACUCAGAUUCUGACAAAACUAUAGAGGCAUCUUCUGGAUCUGCAAGCUAAUUUUGUUACAUAGUAUUUGUAGAAUCAUUUUAUGUUUAUUGAAUAACUAUAAAUGGCACACUGCUAACAAUUACUGUUAGUGAAAUUGGGCCUAAUUAAGACAGGUUGUGGGUUAUGUUCAUUUUCCAAAAUGCUAAUGUAACUCCAUCCUUUUUUCUCCCCCUUUUUUUUUUUUUUUUUUUGAGAUGA